CGGGCUGGCUCUGCCGGACAUACGAAAAUACUAUCACGCAACCAUACUCCAACGAAUCUGGGAAUGGCACGCGGCGACAGCAACCAAACUAUGGGUGGCCCUAGACAGGGAGAGCACGAACAAGGCCCUAUACACGUACAUAUGGCAAGGACUGACAGACGCUAAACAACACCUGAGUAAUGAAUCCCCCAUUAUACAGACGCUGAAAACUUGGACAAAUCUAAGGAAGAAACAACACUUAUCACCCCAACCAAGCCCUCUAAUUCCACUGACGCACAACAAAGCGAUAGGAGGCGGACUGCAGACAAAUGC